rnacentral:rRNA from 1 species
GCUAACUUCGGGGCGUAUGCUGGGGUAAGACUGAGGUGGCAUGCGGUGGCCGGAUGUAAUGGGUGUAAAGGGCGUGCAGCCGGGUGUGCAAGUCAGAUGUGAAAGCCAUGGGCUCAACCCAUGAACUGCAUUUGAAACUGGAGAUCUUGAGUGUCGGAGGGGCAAUCGGAAUUCCUAGUGUAGCGGUGAAAUGCGUAGAUAUUAGGAGGAACACCAGUGGCGAAGGCGGAUUGCUGGACGAUAACUGACGGUGAGGCGCGAAAGUGUGGGGAGCAAACAGGAUUAGAUACCCCAGUAGUA